rnacentral:rRNA from 1 species
CCUACGGGAGGCAGCAGUGAGGAAUAUUGGUCAAUGGGCGGAAGCCUGAACCAGCCAAGUCGCGUGAGGGAUUAAGGCCCUGCGGGUCGUAAACCUCUUUUGCCGGGGAGCAGUGGUCCGGACGCGUCCGGACCGGGAGAGUACCCGGAGAAAAAGCAUCGGCUAACUCCGUGCCAGCAGCCGCGGUAAUACGGAGGAUGCGAGCGUUAUCCGGAAUUAUUGGGCGUAAAGGGUGCGUAGAUGGCAUAGUAAGUCUUUUGUAAAAAUGCUGGGCUCAACCCAGUAGGGCAAAAGAUACUGCAAAGCUAGAGUAUGACAGAGGCAAGUGGAACUACAUGUGUAGCGGUAAAAUGCGUAAAUAUAUGUAAGAACACCAGUGGCGAAGGCGGCUUGCUGGGUCGAUACUGACAUUGAGGCACGAAAGCGUGGGGAGCAAACAGGAUUAGAUACCCCAGUAGUC